AACAUACUCCUUUCGUCUUAAAAUUCUUGUCUUAGUUUUGUCUAGAAAUAAAUAUAUUUAAAUAUUAAAACGUGACUAGAUACAUUCAUAUUUCGAUAAAUCGAAGACAAAAAUUUUGGGACCGAGGAAGUAGAAA
rfam:Hordeum vulgare subsp. vulgare, WGS project CAJW01000000 data, contig: morex_contig_1570744